rnacentral:rRNA from 1 species
UACGUAGGCAGCAAGCGUUGUUCGGAGUUACUGGGCGUAAAGGGUGUGUAGGCGGUUCUCUAAGUCUGGUGUGAAAUCUCCCGGCUCAACUGGGAGGGUGCGCCGAAAACUGGAGGACUAGAGUGCGGGAUGGGAGAGUGGAAUUCCUGGUGGUAGCGGUGAAAUGCGCAGAUAUCAGGAGGAACACCAAUGGCGAAGGCAGCACUCUGGGACGGUACUGACGCUGAGACGCGAAAGCGUGGGGAGCAAACAGG